rnacentral:rRNA from 1 species
CUUUCUUUGCUGGCGACCGGCGCACGGGCGAGUAACACGUAUCCAACCUGCCCUUUACUCGGGGAUAGCCUUUCGAAAGAAAGAUUAAUACCCGAUAGCAUAAUGAUUCCGCAUGGUUUCAUUAUUAAAGGAUUCCGGUAAAGGAUGGGGAUGCGUUCCAUUAGGUUGUUGGUGAGGUAACGGCCCACCAAGCCUUCGAUGGAUAGGGGUUCUGAGAGGAAGGUCCCCCACAUUGGAACUGAGACACGGUCCAA